AACGUAGGAGGCGAGCGUUAUCCGGAUUUACUGGGUGUAAAGCGCGUGUAGGCGGUCCUGCAAGUGGCGCGUGAAAGCGCCCGGCUCAACCGGGCGAGGACGUGACCGAACUGCGGGGCUAGAGGCAGGUAGAGGCGUGUGGAAUUCCGGGUGUAGUGGUGAAAUGCGUAGAGAUCCGGAGGAACACCAGUGGCGAAGGCGACACGCUGGGCCUGACCUGACGCUGAGAGGCGAAAGCAUGGGGAGCGAACGGGAUUAGAUACCCCCGUAGUCCCU
rnacentral:rRNA from 1 species